GGGUUAGUAGGUUGGUCAUGCCUCUGGUAUGUACUGGUCUCACUGAUUCCUCCUUCCUGAUGAACCGUAAUGCCAUUAACUUGGUGUUGCGGGGAAUUUGGACUGUUACUUUGAAAAAAUUAGAGUGUUUAAAGCAAGCUAACGCUUGAAUACAUUAGCAUGGAAUAAUGAAAUAGGACGUUCGUAUCCUACUUUUGUUGGUUUCUUAGGAGUUGACGUAAUGAUUAAUAGGGAGUAGUUGGG
rnacentral:rRNA from 1 species